GACGAACGCUGGCGGCGUGCUUAACACAUGCAAGUCGAACGGAAAGGCCCUGCUUUUGUGGGGUGCUCGAGUGGCGAACGGGUGAGUAACACGUGAGUAACCUGCCCUUGACUUUGGGAUAACUUCAGGAAACUGGGGCUAAUACCGGAUAGGAGCUCCUGCUGCAUGGUAGGGGUUGGAAAGUUUCGGCGGUUGGGGAUGGACUCGCGGCUUAUCAGCUUGUUGGUGGGGUAGUGGCUUACCAAGGCUUUGACGGGUAGCCGGCCGGAGAGGGUGACCGGCCACAUUGGGACUGAGGUACGCCCCAGACUACUACGGGAGGCAGCAGUGGGGAAUAUUGCACAAUGGGCGGAAGACUGAUGCAGCGACGCCGCGUGCGUGAUGACGGCCUUCGGGGUGUAAACCGCUUUCGCCUGUGACGAAGCGUGAGUGACGGUAAUGGGUAAAGAAGCACCGGCUAACUACGUG
rnacentral:rRNA from 1 species